rnacentral:rRNA from 1 species
GACGAACGCUGGCGGCGUGCUUAACACAUGCAAGUCGAGCGGUAAGGCUCCUUCGGGAGUACACGAGCGGCGCACGGGUGAGUAACACGUGAGUAAUCUGCCCUUCACUUCGGGAUAACCACCGGAAACGGUGGCUAAUACCGAAUACGACCAGUCUUCGCAUGAGGUGCUGGUGGAAAGUCUUUUCGGUGAAGGAUGUGCUCGCGGCCUAUCAGCUUGUUGGUGGGGUAAUGGCCUACCAAGGCUUCGACGGGUAGCCGGCCUGAGAGGGUGACCGGCCACACUGGGACUGAGACACGGCCCAGACUCCUACGGGAGGCAGCAGUGGGGAAUAUUGGACAAUGGGCGAAAGCCUGAUCCAGCAACGCCGCGUGAGGGAUGACGGCCUUCGGGUUGUAAACCUCGUUCAGUACCGACGAAGCGCCCUGUCGGGUGGUGACGGUAGGUACAGAAGAAGGACCGGCCAACUACGUG